AUUUCAUUGAAGCACACUCAAUCGUUACUACACAUAAAUUCAUCCCACUGUUUCCAUGUUAAAUCUAGAACGGAAAUUUUAAUCACAAACCAAGUUAACUUUCUGUGCUUUAACUUAAGUCUAAGGUAUAUUUCCUAUAUUUCUGAGCCGAAAUAAUUCAUUUUCGUUUUGUCUUUUCUACCGAGGAUCAUCGCACCGUAAGAAGAAAUGUCCGGACGUGGAAAGGGAGGCGAGGACUGACGAUGGAAGGUACCGGACGUGACUGAAUGGAGAUUCACAGUCUUCUAACACAUAUGACAAGAAACGCCUGCACGCCGUAAGAGUGGAAAGGAGCUGGGGAAUUGAUCUGUCAAUCGCCUGCCACUGAAAGCGCUUCGGGACAACAUCCAGUGCAUCACCGAGCCAAGGAGGCGUUCAGUCUUUCCAAGACAUAUGACAAGGUGCUGUGCUGUACUGUAUUGUGUGAAAGCAGUAAUAGGAUAGCAAUCUUUAGCUGAUAAGUUCAAUGCCUGAACCUGAACAAUGCUUAGUAGAGUUUUCUUUUCAAAAUUAGGGCUUAUGUGUGGACAGCUAAGCUGUUAGGCAGCUGAUGCGUGCAUAGGUCCUGGCCCUGAUUUUGAACCUGUUCGCAAGUAUUGGAGGAAGGAAGCAAACAAGAAGACUGUUAACUGGGUUAACACAACUAUACAACAAGUUUGGAAUGAGACAUCUCCGAGCAGCUUCCAGUAUCUUAUUGGUGCCAUCAAGCCCGGAUCAUCUGCAGCUGCAAUGCUCAUGUUUGGACUUAUCCUGGUGAGAGGCCGCCUGAUGCCAUCUCCACGGUGAUGUCCAGAAAUAUGCACUCAGGACUUCAGCCCGCUUCUGUGAUGUACAGGCCCGAUGUGUGACUGAUUUGGUUUCUGUGGCUGUGUCGAUGGCCCUGAUCGUAUUCAACCAGUUCCUGUAAAUUCUGUUCUUUAUAAAACAGGAACUUAAAUUUCCUGGUUAAUCAUUAUCUCUUUUAAUUUCUGUUUUAUGUCGUGGUCAGUGGUUGUCGGGAACCUGGACCAUUACAUAAUCUGCCUUGUGUCGCUAUCUUGGAUCCCGAACCAAGAGAACAACACAGGCCAGAAAGGACGACAGGUGCUUAAAAAGCCUAUUUUAUAUUUGGUCCUUUAGAAACACUCGACUUCUUGGUAUCAACACAAUCACAGAAACUUAAUCAAUCCAAACAGAAUGCAAUGUGUGCCAUCCUACAGCCAUCAUCUAUAUCACGAUGCUAGAUACAUGUAAUAAGCUUGAUCGAGUAAAGUUGGAGUCUGAUUUCAUUUUGGUCUCGUCUUGCGUUUUGGAUAUGUAGUGCUGUUUAUUCGCCUUUUGUAAGCAGCCUUUGUUUUGAAUGUAUUAAUCACAUCAUACCAUUCUAGUACAGCGGUGGCUAAACUGAUAUGAUUUUGUUUUGUUUUGUUCUCACUAAGACUUUGCUUUGUGCAUUUUACUUGUAUUUUUGUACAUAAGUGGUCUACAGGUUAGUUAAGUAAAUGCCAUUAUUGUCCGUUUAUUGUGUAUAGGUUGUUUGUAGCCUUUGAAACCAGUCCUUUGGAAAUUUCCUUACUUAAGGCUUAGGCUGACGCUUACACUAACAGAAACACACGCACGCACACACACACACACACACACACACACACACACACACACACACAAAAUAGAUGUUAAGUUUUAGUUCAAUUUAUCUAGUUUUAGUGCCAGAGCAAUUUUUGUGUGUGGAUUUGAGAGAUGUACAUAUUUGUACACUUUGCAUUCAUCUAUUGCUUCCAAAUAAACAGUUUGAAAUCAGUUCUGUAGUAACUGUUUUAUUGCUUUCCCCUUUUAUACCCUUACGCCCAUGUGGUCCCUCCAUCCCUAGACUCUUAACCCCAUGUGUGAAAUGGUUGGUCCCCCUCCAUUCCAAUAGCAUUUAACCCAAUGACUCUUUUCCAGAUCCUUAACCCCAUGUGAAAUGGAUGAUCCCGUCCCAGAUCCUUGGUCCUUUUCUAUAUUCUUUACCCCUGUUAAAUGGACGCCCCCGUUCCCAGAGUCCCAUAUGAAAUGACGGGUCCUUCCCUAGCCAAACCCUUAAACCUUGAAAAUGGAUAGUCCCCUUUUCCCAGAGACCCUAAUGGUUUUUGAGGAAGCUAUUUGGACAUUCAGGUCCCAUGAUGACCCGGGACAGCCUGAGGCUUCAGCCUCUCCUACAGCCAAAGUCAAAAGUCAAAGUUCCUUCCCGCGCCUGAUGGCGCAUAGGGCGGCGCCCAUCUCCGUUUCAGUAGCCCUUG